ACUUCACAUCUUGUACAGAUAUCACAGUACAUGACGUCAAAAGUCAGCGCUGACGUCACAGGCGCAGGUUAAUUUGUUGAAGUUGUCUGAGAUGACAUGGAAUUUACAGAUAGGGCAUGUGGCAUCACGUGAUGUGUUAUAUUUUGUGACGACACAUCCUAAUAUGACACGAUGUGUUACGUCACAUCCUACUAACAUGACACGAUAUGUGACGUCACAUCCUACUAACAUGACGAUAUGUGACGUCACAUUCUACUAACAUGACACGUAUGUGACGUCACAUCCUACUAACAUGAAACGUUAUGUGAGGUCACAUUCUACUAACAUGAAACGUUAUGUGAGGUCACAUCCUACUAACAUGACACGUUAUGUGAGGUCACAUCCUACUAACGUGACACGUUAUGUGAGGUCACAUCCUACUAACAAGACACGUUAUGUGAGGUCACAUCCUACUAACAUGACACGUUAUGUGACGUCACAUCCUACUAACGUGACACGUUAUGUGAGGUCACAUCCUACUAACAAGACACGUUAUGUGAGGUCACAUCCUACUAACAUGACACGUAUGUGACGUCACAUCCUACUAACAUGAAACGUUAUGUGAGGUCACAUCCUACUAACAUGAAACGUUAUGUGAGGUCACAUCCUACUAACAUGACACGUAUGUGAUGUCACAUCCUACUAACAUGAAACGUUAUGUGAGGUCACAUCCUACUAACAUGAAACGUUAUGUGAGGUCACAUCCUACUAACGUGACACGUUAUGUGAGGUCACAUCCUACUAACAAGACACGUUAUGUGAGGUCACAUCCUACUAACAUGACACGUUAUGUGAGGUCACAUCCUACUAACAUGACACGUUAUGUGAGGUCACAUCCUACUAACAUGACACGUAUGUGACGUCACAUCCUACUAACAUGACACGUUAUGUGAGGUCACAUCCUACUAACAUGACACGUUAUGUGAGGUCACAUCCUACUAACAUGACACAUUAUGUGAGUGUUUUAUCUUGUUUUCGCCGUUGAAGAAAGCCACAGUAUUUAGAAAGACAAGAAAAUAAUGUUACGAAGAAACGACCAAGCAAUGCGUGCUUCAGGAUAAGGAUCAUUGGCAAAUAAAGAUUUAUGUCAUCGGGAAAGAUGUUGGGUUAUUCCACAUGAUCACCCAAACUCGAAACUAUUCUUUGUUUUAUCACUAAUAAGUACUAUAAGCUUUAAUUAAAACUCUAGGUUAAUAACCAUGAAGCGAAAAGUCAGGAGAAUAUAUAACACAUAGGAAGAAUAUAUUUCGCUGCUAUGAUUUGCAAAUUCAACUCACGGCAAAACUACAUACAUAUUGUUUGUUCCUCUUGCAUUUGCAUCAAGGCUCACCUUUGAAUCGAACCUGCUAUUUUUUAUUCCCUCUAUAUGUGAAUGAGUGGCUCAGAGCCUGAAAAACUUUGACUUCCAGGAAAACUAAACCCAAAUUCCUGUGUAGUCGUUGUGAUUGUUAUCACGCAAUGCGUGCAAGAUUCCCUAUAGGCAAGAUACUGGCAUCGACACGAAAGCAAAAAAGCGAAGGUUGUUCUUAUCUUGUGUUAAAUAUACUGAUAAAAUGCAAAAGAAAUUCUGUAUUGUUCUUGGACGUCAGUGAACGAUAAAUACAAGUUUCACGAACCUUUUUACAUACUUAAAUUUCCCGUGACGAGCCUUCGGCUCGAGGUGGUAAAACUGCUUUCAUAUGACAUCGCAUAAAUACCAGCAUAUAGAUAAAUCUUAGAAUUAUUUGCCAGGUAUUGUUGUAAAACGAUAAA